rnacentral:rRNA from 1 species
UGCAAGUCGAGCGGAAACGAGUUAUCAAAACCUUCGGGGGGCGAUAACGGCGUCGAGCGGCGGACGGGUGAGUAAUGCCUAGGAAAUUGCCCUGAUGUGGGGGAUAACCAUUGGAAACGAUGGCUAAUACCGCAUGAUGCCUACGGGCCAAAGAGGGGGACCUUCGGGCCUCUCGCGUCAGGAUAUGCCUAGGUGGGAUUAGCUAGUUGGUGAGGUAAGGGCUCACCAAGGCGACGAUCCCUAGCUGGUCUGAGAGGAUGAUCAGCCACACUGGAACUGAGACACGGUCCAGACUCCUACGGGAGGCAGCAGUGGGGAAUAUUGCACAAUGGGCGCAAGCCUGAUGCAGCCAUGCCGCGUGUGUGAAGAAGGCCUUCGGGUUGUAAAGCACUUUCAGUCGUGAGGAAGGUAGUGUAGUUAAUAGCUGCAUUAUUUGACGUUAGCGACAGAAGAAGCACCGGCUAACUCCGUGCCAGCAGCCGCGGUAAUACGGAGGGUGCGAGCGUUAAUCGGAAUUACUGGGCGUAAAGCGCAUGCAGGUGGUUUGUUAAGUCAGAUGUGAAAGCCCGGGGCUCAACCUCGGAAUAGCAUUUGAAACUGGCAGACUAGAGUACUGUAGAGGGGGGUAGAAUUUCAGGUGUAGCGGUGAAAUGCGUAGAGAUCUGAAGGAAUACCGGUGGCGAAGGCGGCCCCCUGGACAGAUACUGACACUCAGAUGCGAAAGCGUGGGGAGCAAACAGGAUUAGAUACCCUGGUAGUCCACGCCGUAAACGAUGUCUACUUGGAGGUUGUGGCCUUGAGCCGUGGCUUUCGGAGCUAACGCGUUAAGUAGACCGCCUGGGGAGUACGGUCGCAAGAUUAAAACUCAAAUGAA